GGGGGCCGCAGGGGAGGACGGCGUUGGGCUAGGCGGGGCCGCAGGGGAGGACGGCGUUAGGCUAGGGGGCCGCAGGGGAGGACGGCGUUAGGCUAGGGGGCUGCAGGGGAGGACGGCGUUACGCUAGGCGGGGCCGCAGGGGAGGACGGCGUUGGGCUGGGGGGCCGCAGGGGAGGACGGCGUUAGGCUAGGCGGGGCCGCAGGACAGGACGGCGU
rnacentral:lncRNA from 1 species